UACGUAGGGGCCUAGCGUUGUCCGGAUUUAUUGGGCGUAAAGAGCUUGUAGGCGGUCUGUCGCGUCUGCUGUGAAAAUCCGGGGCUCAACCCCGGACUUGCAGUGGGUACGGGCAGACUAGAGUGUGGUAGGGGAGACUGGAAUUCCUGGUGUAGCGGUGAAAUGCGCAGAUAUCAGGAGGAACACCGAUGGCGAAGGCAGGUCUCUGGGCCACUACUGACGCUGAGAAGCGAAAGCAUGGGGAUCAAACAGG
rnacentral:rRNA from 1 species